UUAGUGUCUAUAGUUGCAUAGAUUGGUUUCUGGGCUCUAUAUUCUCUUUUCUGGUUUGCUUUGUCUGUCUUUGAUCUGAUACCACACUGUCUUAAUACCAGUUGUUUUAUAUUAAAUCUUGUCUUUCCUAGAGCUGGUCUUUCCUGUCUUGGUCAGUUUGGGCUGCUUUAACAAAAUUCCAUAGACCAGUGGCUUAAACAACAGACAUUUGUUUCUCAUAGUUCUGGAGGCUGGGCAGUCCAAGGUCAAGAUGCCAGCAGAUGGGCUGUCUGAUGAGUGCUCUCUACUGAUUUGCAGGACCUUCACAUUUAGUUCUGCAAGCCAGGAGCCGAACAGGUGCCUCCAGCACUGGAUGAAAAAGGUUGAGGAAAGCUUUCACUAACUGCUGCCUAGAGCUCUCUGUGGCCCAUUGUGAGAAGCUCCUGUCCCUAGGGGAAGGCCUCAUGACCAAGAACUGAAGCAAACUCACUUUGGCUUAUUGUGACUGAGUCCCUGAUAACCCCUAUAUUGCCAUAGGACAGGAAACUCAAACUGGAGCCUAGGGAAUCAGAUUGACUGGAUAAAGAAAGAUUUGAGUACAGAAGGAAGGAGAAAGAUAAUACCUUCUUCAAAGUGAACCUGUAAAUGAAAAUUCUAAAGCAAAUGCUAGGAAGGCAGUCAGUAAAAACAGGAAUUGGAAUAUAAAUUUAUCCUAGAUGAAAUUCAAAUUAAUAGAGUAGUCUAGAAAAAACUUUAAAAACAAAUAUCUUUGAUAAGAUACAUGAAUUAUUAAUUUUCUGAAAAAGAAGGUAAAAUUAUGGGGGAAAAACAGACCAAAACAAAAGUAGAUUUAGUAGGUAUGAAAAAGAACCAAUUAGAAAUCCUUGAAGUAAAAAAAAAUUGAUAUAAAAAUAUAGAAUAAAAACUCAGACAAGUCCCAAUUCAUGGGAAAAUUAGGGUAUUUAAAAAGAAUACUGAGUAAUUCCACUGAAAACUCAUAGAGAUAAAGAAGUAUAUAUAGAGAAUAAGAGACAUGCAGGAUAGAUCAAAAGCCUUCAACAGAUAUCUAAUGGGAGUUUUAUGUAUCUUCAUGAAUGUUUAGACAGAACCUCUGUCAGUGUUAGUUCAACUGAUGGCUUCACCUAAGGACCACUGAAGAGGUGAAUUAAGUUCUUAAUAGAUUUGGAUUAGAAUUUCAAUAGAGUUUGAGAGAUAUGGAGUUGAGACAGAAUUUGAUUGAGAAUAUUUGAGAAUCUUAGUAUAUGUGCUGCCGAAGCGAUCGAUGUGUGUAAGAUUUUCAUAGGCAUAAGAAGCAAAUCACAAGGACAGUGAGUGGGAAGAAAGGCUUUUUAGGUUUUGAGGUAGCUGUCAAUGGAAACUAAUUGUGAUACACUUGGCUUUUACUUGGGCUAGGGGCAGGAGUGUAAAUUGUUGUUUGGGCCCAUCUUUCUUUGAAAUGUUUGUUCAAUAUGUUUUUCUAUACUGGGUAUCAGCUUUUGUGUUUUUUUCAAAUAUACUCUUUACUGUGAAAUUUUAAAUUAUUUUGUUGUGGGACAGAGUGACUUCAUUUCAAAUGUUAAUUUUGGAGGCCUAAGAAGAGUGAAUUUGUAUAGCCCUUCGUUUAAAAUCACAUUCAUUUCAAGGAUGACUUUUCUGAGUUUGCCGGGAGAGUUCAGAUUUUCAGAAAGAGUAGAAACUUGGAUAAGAUGAGUGCCCAGAGCCAAACAGGCAUCUAGUAAAUUUUAGUACACCACUAAUACUCAACUUUUAGGACCAGAUGAAGAGUUAGUGGAGUCUCUGUAGUCAUAUCCAUAACUCUACCAUACUAAGAUGAAAAGUGUAAGUUCUUAAGCUUGUGCAACAUUUAUUUUCUGAUAAAAGUUCUUUCUUAUAUAUAGUAUAUAACAUAAUAUACAUUAACUGCUAUGUUAAUAUUUCCAGAAGAUUAGGGUUUUUUUUAAGUUUUUGUUUUGAAAUAAUCAUAGAUCCACAGGAGGUUUUAAAUUUUUUUUAAGGGAGGACCUGUGUACCUUUUGCCCAUUUUCUCCUGAAGUUUUCUUGUGUAACUAUUGUAUGCUAUCAAAACAGGGGAAUCGACAUUGGUGAACUCUGUGACAUCACAGAGCUUAUGCAGAUUUCAGCUGUUUUAUAUUGGAAAGUUCAUUUUAGUUGUAAUUUCUUCUAAAUCUAAUAAUGAUUAUUAAUAUUUUGUUGUAUAUAGUUUCUGAAGACUGAAGGACAGAAGAGAAUACAUUUAAAAUAAUUAGUAUAAUAGAAUUUAUUCUUAGAACUUGUUAUAUGAAUUUCAAUUUCAAAAGUUUCCUUUGUACAUAUUGGGGAAAACUAUUUUUGUUUCUAAGUGCAAAAUAAAUGAUUAUUUAAAAUUUUA